rnacentral:misc_RNA from 1 species
GAGCGAUAUAAUUUCGGCCGGCGAUUCGCCGGUAACUGAAGCGAAGAGUGGCACUGAUGGCGCUAGAAUUGCAGAGGUGAAGGCGUGGCUCGCCUCUCAAUUUGAUGCGGCUGGUAAAGAUGUUCCUGAAUUCGAAUAUACUCCUCGUAGCAUUGCUCAUUUGUACAAUUUGGCCUCCGUCUCCCAGGCCAAGACACAGGCUGCCAACAUCCUCG